rnacentral:tmRNA from 2 species
GGGGGCGUCACGGUUUCGACGGGAUAACGUGUCGACUUGAGAGCAUGUCGAGUUUUGUUUUGGGAACUCGUUAAAGAACUAAAGCAAAAACAAUAAGUGCAGGACAAUAUUCUGCAGCUCAAGCUUAAUUAACUCAGUUAUUUAGCUUGACUCCUGUUAGUGCGGCGUGGCUAUCAGCUAAUCUAACUUGUAUUAAUCAGAUAGAAUUUUCUAGCAAGAUUUUUUGGUUUAGUAGCUAGAUCAUAUCACUAAACUGGCUGUGAUUUAAUUUUUUGCCUUUGAGAUGAAUCAGUAGUAUAUUCGAAGGCUAAACAUGUAGUGCUUAGUUUACAUAUUGUUUCGGACAUGGGUUCAAUUCCCAUCGCCUCCACCA